UGGGGAAUUUUGCGCAAUGGGCGAAAGCCUGACGCAGCAACGCCGCGUGGGUGAUGAAGGUCUUCGGAUCGUAAAACCCUGUCGUCAGGGACGAAGGUCUGGGGGUGAAUAUCCCUUAGGCUUGACGGUACCUGGAGAGGAAGCCCCGGCUAACUCUGUG
rnacentral:rRNA from 1 species